UCAUCUUGGCGGGGUGCAAUGUGGUGUUCGGGAGGGUCCAUUCGUGCCGUGAGCUCUGAUGUCCAAGUCCCCCUGACCGGGGCCAUCGCCCGUUGAGGGUGCAAGGCCUGUUGGGCAGGGCUGCGUCUCCGUUCUCGGCGCGUCGGGUCCCUUCCUUGGAGUCGGGUUGCUUGAGAGUGCACCCCAAAGUGGGUGGUAAACUCCACCUAAGGCUAAAUACUUGCCACGAGACCGAUAGCAAACAAGUACCGUGAGGGAAAGUUGCAAAGAACUUUGAAGAGAGAGUUCAAGAGUGCGUGAAACCGUUCGGAGGUAAACGGGUGGGAGCGCGAAGGUCGAAUGGAUGGGGAGGGAUUCAACUUGGCGCGGCGGUCGGCCGGGCCGGGGUGCGCUUGGGCGCGGCUGGUUCCGUCCCUUCGGGGGCGUGCAGCCUGCCGUGUCCCGCAUCCUGCCCGCUCGCCAGGUUGCCGUGCCCUGUGCAUUUCCCUGUACCCCCUCUCCUAGUAGGACGCCGCGACCGGCUGUCGAGGGGAGCCCAGGAGCUGGUCGGAGCAGUUGCGCGGGCGAUUAGGGAACCUAGUUCUCUGCGUCCGGUCUGUCUGUCUCCUUCCGCCCGCGGGUGGCUCCCUCCGGCCGAGGAACUGUGCGAGCUGGGCCGCCUCUGGCGGUCCCUCGUUCACGGACGCGUCCCCGAACUGUCGGUGCGGGUCGAAAGAUCCCCACGGGUGGCGGCGGGUGGACGCGCGCCAGCCUUCGGGCUGCGCGUGCGGACUCCGUGCGUCAGCCGCCGUCGGUCAGGGUGCGGACUCCCGCUAUUGUGGGCGCUGGGGGUCGGCGGCGAGUAGGUCGGUUUCCCACCCGACCCGUCUUGAAACACGGACCAAGAAGUCUAACGUGUGGGCGAGUCUUCGGGGACCUGUGAACCCUGUGAAGGCGAAAUGAAAGUGAAGGCGCGCGCGUGCUGGCGCUCUCCCUGUCGGGUCGCUUAGGCGGUCCGGCGUGCGGUGGGUGCCGUGCGUGCGCGUGCCUGGGUGGGAUCCCCCGUCUCUCGGCGGGGGCGCACCACC
rnacentral:rRNA from 1 species